GGCCUUGUAAGUCUUCAACCUCUGUACAUUUGCUUGAAGACUCUCCAAGGAACGGUUUCUGCGGCGAUGAUCAACUGCAAUGCCAAUUGUUGGUGCAUAUUUCUUUGGAAUGCCAGCUGCCUUCAACUCUUCCAAAGAGAAGCCUCUACCAGCCCUCACUUUCAUAUUAUACUUCAACGUCUGCCCAUGAACAAUAGGUCGAAGUGGUCCAGCAGUAGGCCGAGGGAAAGUUUUCACAGCCUUUUCUUGACGAGCAUUCCUUCUCCUUGUUUUACGAGCAGGCUGAUUGAACCAAGUUCUAACAUAAUUUUGCCAGUGCUUCCUAAAGUGCCCACUAGGGAUAACAUUGUUAUGCUUCAUG
rnacentral:misc_RNA from 1 species